GGCUGCCGGGUGAACUGGGCGCGGGGAGCCUCUCCAGGCCCGUUCCACCAUGUCGAAGGUUUCGUUUAAAGUCACGUUGACGUCGGACCCGCGGCUACCGUACAAAGUACUCAGUGUUCCUGAAAGUACACCUUUCACAGCAGUCUUAAAGUUUGCAGCAGAAGAAUUUAAAGUUCUUGCAGCCACAAGUGCAAUUAUUACAAAUGAUGGAAUAGGAAUAAAUCCUGCACAGACUGCUGGAAAUGUUUUUCUAAAGCAUGGCUCAGAACUUCGAAUUAUUCCUAGGGAUCGUGUUGGAAAUUGUUAAUAGCUGCUACUUGGAACAUUCAAUUGCCUUUCAGAAUAAAUACUGGUAUAUUUUGUUAUUGUAAAAUUGAAA